CCAAACUUGGUCAUUUAGAGGAAGUAAAAGUCGUAACAAGGUUUCCGUAGGUGAACCUGCGGAAGGAUCAUUAACGCGUCGGGGCGGUCCUCGCGGCCGCCCGUCUGGCACCCUUGUCUACCCGACCUCCGUUGCCUCGGCGGGCCCGUCGUGGGCACGAUCGCACCCGCGAUCGGGGACCCCGGCCGCCCGGGCUCGACGCCCGGGCCCGCGCCCGCCGGAGGGAUGUCCGAACCACUGUGAAGCACUGCGGUCGUCUGAGCGUCGUGACGAAUCGUCAAAACUUUCAACAAUGGAUCUCUUGGCUCCGGCAUCGAUGAAGAACGCAGC
rnacentral:misc_RNA from 1 species